rnacentral:snRNA from 1 species
GCAUUGUGAGGAAUAUGACGAUAUCAACUGCGACAUCUUGUUCACCAGGACUGAUUUAGUAAAUCUGGUUGUCUAGGCAGAUGUCCCCUUCUUCUCUCAUCACUGCGUGUACGGCCCUCCGGUAGCAUGUUCACUCAAAGGUCCGGACCUUGCAGGACAAAGGAGGACUGUUUCUCAGUUCAAGUGCAAGAGUGGCUGGACUCCCCCUACUAGAACCUCCAAACAUGUUCUCAAGAAGUAUUGUGAUUCCAGGACAGCCAGGGCUACAUAAAGAGACCGAGUCUUAAAACAAAACAAACACAGGAGAACAACAGCAUGUGCCAGAGCGUGCCAGCAUGUGCUCCCU